AUGGUGGCGGCGGGGCCUCGGUUGCCCUGCAUCUACGUGGGGAACCCCGGAUCUGGAGCGACUGCUUCAUUGGCAAGGCACGGCCGACUAGCAGCCGUGCAGGUGGUGGAUAUGGUGUCCCGGCCGCGCGGGCGGCAGGAUCCGGUGAUCGUUGGCGGCCGGCGGCGGUCGGUGCGCGUGAUCUGGCGCCUCCCCUCCUCCCCUGUUCUACGUGCGGGCCAGUCUGGUCGGGUCGCGCUUCCUCUUGGUCGCCGGUUCUGUACAGGAGGCACUGCUGGUGGCGGGGAUCUAGUUCGGGAGAAAUCCCUGGCCGGCCAUGAUCGGUCGCGCCGACGGCGACGCCUGAGGGCGUCGUUCCCCUCCUUGAAGGCGUAG
rnacentral:rRNA from 1 species